rnacentral:rRNA from 1 species
UACGUAGGGUGCGAGCGUUGUCCGGAAUUAUUGGGCGUAAAGAGCGUGUAGGCGGCCAGAUAAGUCCGCUGUGAAAUCUCGAGGCUCAACUUCGAGCUGUCGGUGGAAACUAUCUGGCUAGAGUCCGGAAGAGGAGAAUGGAAUUCCUGGUGUAGCAGUGAAAUGCGUAGAUAUCAGGAGGAACACCGAUGGCGAAGGCAGGUCCCUGGGCCGAAACUGACGCUGAGGAGCGAAAGCGUGGGGAGCGAACAGG